GUUUUAAUAGCGCAGUUGGCUGGAGUGUGGUGCUGAUAAUGCCAAGGUUGCAGGUUCGAUCCCCGUAUGGGACA